rnacentral:sRNA from 1 species
ACACGAGAAAGGAGGUGAUCCGGUAAAUGAUGCUUACCCGGACGCGUGAGGUGGCUGCGGCCUAGAGCCGACGCCACAGUGUGACGCCGGUAUCGCCGGCCAAUCUCAAUGCAGUCACCCGGCCCGCGGGCUCGUCGGACUCGUCCGACCGGCGCCGUUCGCCCACCGCGAGCGGAGCAGCCCGCGGGCCGUUCUGC